AGCGGCGGACGGGUGAGUAACGCGUGAGCAAUCUGCCCCAUACAAAGGGAUACCCACUGGAAACGGUGAUUAAUACCUUAUAAGACCACGAAGUCGCAUGGCUACGAGGUCAAAGAUUUAUCGGUAUGGGAUGAGCUCGCGUCUGAUUAGCUAGUUGGUGAGGUAAUGGCUCACCAAGGCGACGAUCAGUAGCCGACCUGAGAGGGUGAACGGCCACACUGGAACUGAGACACGGUCCAGACUCCUACGGGAGGCAGCAGUGGGGAAUAUUGCACAAUGGGCGCAAGCCUGAUGCAGCAACGCCGCGUGAAUGAUGAAGGCCUUCGGGUCGUAAAGUUCUGUCCAAAGGGAAGAAUACAGUGACGGUACCUUUGGAGGAAGCCCCGGCUAACUACGUGCCAGCAGCCGCGGUAAUACGUAGGGGGCAAGCGUUAUCCGGAAUCACUGGGCGUAAAGGGAGCGUAGGCGGUUAAACAAGCCAGAGGUGAAAGGCAAUAGCUUAACUAUUGUAAGCCUUUGGAACUGUUUGACUUGAGUGCAGGAGAGGAAAGUGGAAUUCCUAGUGUAGCGGUGAAAUGCGUAGAUAUUAGGAGGAACACCAGUGGCGAAGGCGACUUUCUGGACUGUAACUGACGCUGAGGCUCGAAAGCGUGGGGAGCGAACAGGAUUAGAUACCCUGGUAGUCCACGCCGUANACGAUGAAUACUAGG
rnacentral:rRNA from 1 species